ensembl:lncRNA
GAGAGAGAGGGAGAGAAAGAGAGGGAGAGAGAGGGAGGGAAGGGGAGGGAGAGAAAGAGAGAGAGAACGCUGCAUAACAAAUGCGCUAUCAGGCGGCAUUCGUCAUCCUGCGUGGAUCCUAAUAGCCCCCUGUUGUUUUCUGAAGUCUGCUGACUAACUAACUAACCCGACCUCAGCCCAAAACACACCACAAUCUGCUGCUCAGCGAUCUCUGCGUCGCCACUCUCAGACCGAGGGCGUCUCAGGCCCUCCACUCCCCUCCGUUGUUGUUCUGUGGGUUUAUAUUAUCGGAUCGGUGUGUCAGCAUGUGUAUAUGCGUGUACAGCUGCAUGUAUGUGUGAGUACAUGUUUGUUUGCGUGUGUGUAUGUGGUGUGUGUGUGUGUGUGUGUGUGUGUGUGCGUGUGUGUUUCCUGGUCCAAGCAAGCGUGUUGCACUUCGAUGUGGCUGACGUGUGUGGCUGAGGUGUAGCAUGUUCUCACGCACAACGCCCGGAUGCUCAAUGUUGUACUUGCAUGUGGCGACUGAUAUCGCAACCUGACAUAACAAAAAGCCGUUCCCUAAGGUCCGUUAGAACCCCCCCCCCCGACCCGCUCUCGUACCUGUCGACCUUGAGGGGAGAGAGAGCCGGUGUCGAGACGUGGACCGAAGGUCGAGUCAGUCGACCUCCAAACCGUCCCGUCCGUUCCUGUGCUACCGGCUCCGUGCCGUUUCCACGGAGAGGUCCUCUGUAAAAACCUCAUUUAAACGAGAGUCGUUUACAGACGUUUCUGCCGUUUUGAUCUCAUGUGAUCUCAUGCUUCCAGCCGUGGGAGCCAGUGUGCUUUUUCUAACGGGGUUGAACCAUGUAGCAUACUGCGUCCGCCGCCAUCCACUCACCAGUAUGCCAACUUCCUGUACACAGCAACACUUUUUUGCCACAAAUACUGUUUACAAAGCAAGCCAAAGUCCACGACGUUUCUGCACCUAUGUUCACGCACAGACAGACGCUAGCUUCCAUCCGAUAGAACGUUUUUAGGAAGCAUGUAAAAUGCAGAGAAUACACCAAUUUUUCCUUUAGGUAGUAAUCUUCAAAUUGCGGAUAUUACUUUUAGGAUUUGUAAACAUUACUUAGUCUGUUAUUUUUAUUUUUUUCCUAUCUUUUGAAGUGCAUUGAUUUAGAAACAGCGCUUAUCUUCCUAAUAUUCAUUGUUUUUCUUUUGGUUUACAUUUUUUACUAGUUUAAUAAAUCCCUGAAAUAUAGUGUUGGUAGAGCCUCCUCUGACCAGAAUCAAUGUGUUUCUCAAACAGUCUAGACACACGGGAGUGAUACAAUGAGAGCAGAGAGGAAUAAAGUAUUUUUCUACAGCUGUAUCCUGUCCCCACACCCUGAUCACUGAUGGGUGUGUAGAGGAGACCUGUGGACUCGACUUCCUUUGCAGAACUAGAAAUAUCCUUUUUAUUUCUGUUUUUCUGGUACAACAUUGUAUGGUAUAGUUAUAUGUGUGGGUCUUAUUUUCUCUGUUGAUGCUUUGAUAUUUAUGUUUGUUAUUUUGGUUGGUUGUUAUUUGUGUUGCUUAUGGCUACACACUUUGGGCUGUAUCGCCUCCAUGCAACAAUGAAAGCUAUUUAUUGCAAAUACCAAAAAGAAAAGAAAGGCUCAGUGGUUUAUUUAAUAUUGUAUCUUCUUGUGUUUGAGUUUUGUCAUAAUGUUUGGGAUGGACUUACAGGAAAAUAAAUCUUUUUAGAAGCAACAACAAACAGGGAUCGGAUCCCAGGUCUGAGGUUCAAGGUCUUUCCACUCCUCUGGCGAACACACAUUCUGGUUAUUCUGCG